AAACUUUUUGUUUAUACAGCAGUGAUAUUCUUUAUUUCACUCUUUAUCUCUGGAUUCUUAUCUAAUGACCCAGGACAGAAUCCUGGACACGAGGAGUAA
rnacentral:rRNA from 1 species